GAGCUAUAGCGCUGUCACGUCGUGUAGCCGGUCUACCCGUCUGCAGUCGAUACGACAGCUAGAGUCGUAGGAGAUCGAUCUGUGUAGCGUGAAUGCGCAGAUAUCAGAGACACUGUGCGAGCGAUCUCUGCCGAUACUGACGCUGAGAGCGAAGCGUGGAGCGACAGAUAGAUACUGUAGUCACGCGUAUCGGUGACACUAGGUGUGCACAUCACGUGUCCGUGCGCAGCUACGCAUUAAGUGCCGCUGGGAGUACGCCGCAAGCUAAACUCAAAGAAUGACGGGCCCGCACAAGCGCGGAGCAUGUGGCUUAAUUCGACGCAACGCGAAGAACCUAUCAAGGCUUGACAUACACCGGAAAACCUGGAGACAGGGUCCCCCUUGUGGUCGGUGUACAGGUGGUGCAUGGCUGUCGUCAGCUCGUGUCGUGAGAUGUUGGGUUAAGUCCCGCAACGAGCGCAACCCUUGUCCCGUGUUGCCAGCAGGCCCUUGUGGUGCUGGGGACUCACGGGAGACCGCCGGGGUCAACUCGGAGGAAGGUGGGGACGACGUCAAGUCAUCAUGCCCCUUAUGUCUUGGGCUGCACACGUGCUACAAUGGCCGGUACAAUGAGCUGCGAUACCGCGAGGUGGAGCGAAUCUCAAAAAGCCGGUCUCAGUUCGGAUUGGGGUCUGCAACUCGACCCCAUGAAGUCGGAGUCGCUAGUAAUCGCAGAUCAGCAUUGCUGCGGUGAAUACGUUCCCGGGCCUUGUACACACCGCCCGUCACGUCACGAAAGUCGGUAACACCCGAAGCCGGUGGCCCAACCCCCUAAGGGGAGGGAGCUGUCGAAGGUGGACUGGCGAUGCC
rnacentral:rRNA from 1 species